rnacentral:rRNA from 1 species
GGAAUUGUUCGCAAUGGGCGCAAGCCUGACGACGCAACGCCGCGUGGAGGAUGAAGGUCUUCGGAUUGUAAACUCCUGUUUCCCGGGACGAAUGGCUCCAACCUAAUACCUUGGAGUGUGACGGUACCGGGGUAGGAAGCCCCGGCCAACUCUGUGCCAGCAGCCGCGGUAAUACAGCGGGGGCAAGCGUUGUUCGGAAUUACUGGGCGUAAAGGGCGCGUAGGCGGCCUUCUAAGUCGAACGUGAAAUCCCCGGGCUCAACCCGGGAACUGCGUCCGAGACUGGAAGGCUCGAAUCCGGGAGAGGGAUGUGGAAUUCCAGGUGUAGCGGUGAAAUGCGUAGAUAUCUGGAGGAACAUCGGUGGCGAAGGCGGCAUCCUGGACCGGUAUUGACGCUGAGGCGCGAAAGCCAGGGGAGCAAA